UACGGAGGAUCCAAGCGUUAUCCGGAUUUAUUGGGUUUAAAGGGUGCGUAGGCGGUUUAUUAAGUCAGGGGUGAAAGACGGCAGCUUAACUGUCGCAGUGCCUUUGAUACUGAUGAACUUGAAUGUACUAGAAGUAGGCGGAAUGUGACAAGUAGCGGUGAAAAUGCAUAGAUAUGUCACAGAACACCGAUUGCGAAGGCAGCUUACUAUGGUAUGAUUGACGCUGAGGCACGAAAGCGUGGGGAUCAAACAGG
rnacentral:rRNA from 1 species